AUGCAAUUGCAUGCAUUCAGGUUUAACAUCGUUGGACAGUGGGCAGUGACAACCAGUGUGGACUACUCGCUAGCGCAGCUGAUCCAGGUGAUCAUCCUGCUGAGCACCGGCGGCAACAACGGAGGAGGGUACCUGGCGUCCAAGUACGAGGUCAUCGCCAUCCAUGCCGCCAUCCUGCUCAGCCACGCCGUCAUCAACAGCCUCCCCAUUGCAUGGCUCUCCUUCUUUGGCCAGUUUGCGGCGGCUUGGAACAUGCUAGGUGUCUUUGUCCUGAUGAUUGCUGUGCCGGCUGUUGCUACGGAGAGAGCCAGUGCCAAGUUCGUCUUCACCAAUUUCAACACCGACAACAGCGCUGGAAUACACAGCCAUCUCUACAUCUUUCUCCUGGGGCUCCUCAUGAGCCAGUACACGCUCUUAGGAUACGACGCGUCGGCGCAUAUGACGGAGGAGACCAAGAACGCAGACAAGAACGGCCCGAUCGGGAUCAUCAGCGCCAUCGGCAUAUCGAUAAUGGUCGGCUGGGGAUACAUACUCGGCGUCACCUUCGCCGUCAAGGACAUACCCUCCCUGCUGAGCCCUGCAAGUUAUUUCUCUUACAACGCCAUCGCCCAGGUCUUCUGCCAGGCCUUCAAGAGCCGCUACGGCAGCGGCGUCGGCGGGAUCGUCUGCCUGGGGAUCGUCGCCGUCGCCAUUUACUUCUGCGGCAUGAGCUCCGUCACAAGUAACUCGAGGAUGGCGUAUGCAUUCUCGAGAGACGGCGCGAUGCCGCUGUCAUCCGUGUGGCACAAAGUGAACAAGCACGAGGUGCCCAUCAACGCCGUCUGGCUCUCGGCUUUCGUCUCCCUCUGCAUGGCGUUGCCGUCGCUGGGAAGUCUGGUGGCGUUCCAGGCCAUGGUGUCGAUCGCCACGAUCGGGCUCUACAUCGCGUACGCGCUGCCCAUCUUCUUCCGGGUGACGCUGGCGCGGAAGCACUUCGUGCCGGGACCCUUCAACCUCGGGCGCUACAGCGUGCUGGUGGGGUGGGUGGCCGUGCUCUGGGUGGUCACCAUCACCGUGCUCUUCUCGCUGCCGGUGAUGUACCCGGUGACCAGGGACACGCUCAACUACACGCCGGUCGCCGUCGGCGGGCUCUUCAUCCUCGUCCUGACGUCGUGGGUCGUGAGUGCCAGGCACUGGUUCAAGGGACCCGUCAUUAAUUUGAGCUAG
rnacentral:rRNA from 1 species